UCCUCAGUAGUCCAACGGCUAGGAUACCUCGCUUUCACGAGCACAACACGCUUCACAGCGCCGAGGCGGUCGGGGUUCGAUUCCCCGCUGGGGAA